GACGAACGCUGGCGGCGUGCUUAACACAUGCAAGUCGAACGGAAAGGCCCUGCUUGCAGGGUGCUCGAGUGGCGAACGGGUGAGUAACACGUGGGUGAUCUGCCCCUUACUUUGGGAUAAGCCUGGGAAACUGGGUCUAAUACUGGAUAGGACCAUGCUGUAGGUGGUGUGGUGGAAAGAUUAGUUUCGGUAAGGGAUGAGCUCGCGGCCUAUCAGCUUGUUGGUGGGGUAAUGGCCUACCAAGGCGUCGACGGGUAGCCGGCCUGAGAGGGUGGACGGCCACAUUGGGACUGAGAUACGGCCCAGACUCCUACGGGAGGCAGCAGUGGGGAAUAUUGCACAAUGUGCGCAAGCCUGAUGCAGCGACGCCGCGUGGGGGAUGACGGCCUUCGGGUUGUAAACUCCUUUCAGCCAUGACGAAGCCCUUGUGGUGACGGUAGUGGUAGAAGAAGCACCGGCUAACUACGUG
rnacentral:rRNA from 1 species